rnacentral:rRNA from 1 species
AAUGGGUCAGCGACUUAUAUUCUGUAGCAAGGUUAACCGAAUAGGGGAGCCGAAGGGAAACCGAGUCUUAACUGGGCGUUAAGUUGCAGGGUAUAGACCCGAAACCCGGUGAUCUAGCCAUGGGCAGGUUGAAGGUUGGGUAACACUAACUGGAGGACCGAACCGACUAAUGUUGAAAAAUUAGCGGAUGACUUGUGGCUGGGGGUGAAAGGCCAAUCAAACCGGGAGAUAGCUGGUUCUCCCCGAAAGCUAUUUAGGUAGCGCCUCGUGAAUUCAUCUCCGGGGGUAGAGCACUGUUUCGGCAAGGGGGUCAUCCCGACUUACCAACCCGAUGCAAACUGCGAAUACCGGAGAAUGUUAUCACGGGAGACACACGGCGGGUGCUAACGUCCGUCGUGAAGAGGGAAACAACCCAGACCGCCAGCUAAGGUCCCAAAGUCAUGGUUAAGUGGGAAACGAUGUGGGAAGGCCCAGACAGCCAGGAUGUUGGCUUAGAAGCAGCCAUCAUUUAAAGAAAGCGUAAUAGCUCACUGGUCGAGUCGGCCUGCGCGGAAGAUGUAACGGGGCUAAACCAUGCACCGAAGCUGCGGCAGCGACACUAUGUGUUGUUGGGUAGGGGAGCGUUCUGUAAGCCUGCGAAGGUGUGCUGUGAGGCAUGCUGGAGGUAUCAGAAGUGCGAAUGCUGACAUAAGUAACGAUAAAGCGGGUGAAAAGCCCGCUCGCCGGAAGACCAAGGGUUCCUGUCCAACGUUAAUCGGGGCAGGGUGAGUCGACCCCUAAGGCGAGGCCGAAAGGCGUAGUCGAUGGGAAACAGGUUAAUAUUCCUGUACUUGGUGUUACUGCGAAGGGGGGACGGAGAAGGCUAUGUUGGCCGGGCGACGGUUGUCCCGGUUUAAGCGUGUAGGCUGGUUUUCCAGGCAAAUCCGGAAAAUCAAGGCUGAGGCGUGAUGACGAGGCACUACGGUGCUGAAGCAACAAAUGCCCUGCUUCCAGGAAAAGCCUCUAAGCAUCAGGUAACAUCAAAUCGUACCCCAAACCGACACAGGUGGUCAGGUA